UACGUAGGGGGCUAGCGUUGUCCGGAAUCAUUGGGCGUAAAGCGCGUGUAGGCGGCCCGGUAAGUCCGCUGUAAAAGUCGGGGGCUCAACCCUCGAAAGCCGGUGGAUACUGUCGGGCUCGAGUCCGGAAGAGGCGAGUGGAAUUCCUGGUGUAGCGGUGAAAUGCGUAGAUAUCUGGAGGAACACCGGUGGCGAAGGCGGCGAUCCUGGACCGACACUGACGCUGAGGAGCGAAAGCCAGGGGAGCAAACGGG
rnacentral:rRNA from 1 species